CCUAAACAAGCUACACUGCAUCCUAUUUUUUCAGUGAGGAUACUGGAGACACUGAUGAAAGUCUUGCUAUAAUCAAGGGAGCAGGGGGAGGAGGAGUGAUUCUGCUCUGAGAAAGAAAGAACAAGGUCUUUAAUGAAUAUUCACUUCUCAGGGACAUGAUAUGAUUCAGUCAACGUGGCUAGAUGACAGAACCCAUCUAGAUCCUCAGGGAUAAUUACGACAGAAGGACUAGCUAAGAACCAGUCACAACAGGCAAUUCUACGCUGAAGAAGAACUGCUACCUUCUAAUACCUCUUCCUACCAAACCUUGGAAACCAGGCGCCAGGCGUUCAACACAGAGGUAACCCUCUGCUCCCAUCCGUACUAGCUUCAAAACUGAGGAGUUAUCACAGUGGGCAGAGCAGGUUUGCUUUUCCCAUCCCUGUGAAAAUCUCCUUAGAAGCACAGCAUAUCCCAAGCCUUCUUUCUGAAGGGCACAGAAAAGACAGGUGAAUGAAUUUAUUGGAUGUCUUGGACAACUCCUGUAGAAGGCGUGCAGUGAGUACCUGAGGUAGGUAUUUGUUGAUUAGGUACCCAGAACAUAGCAACAAUCAACUAACAAGACAAGACACAUGCAUUAAGCUGUUUUCUCCAUUCUAAAACUCACAAAAAAAAAAAAAAAAAAAAAAAAAAGCUGUUUGGUUGAUCCUUGUUGGUUAAUUUGAGUUAAAAAUGUACAGUACUAACACAUGGUACUGCAAGUAAUGGGAGAAGUGUACAAAAAUUAUCACAGGAGAGAGUAUGAAGUAAAUGUAAUCUGUAUAUUGCUGUCGCAGACUUUAAAGUCAAUCCAUCUUUAACAAGAAGCUGGAAAAUUCUUCCAUAGCCAUUCACAACUGCGUGGCCUGUAUUCUCUUCCCAUCCUGUGUAAUGUUUUGUCUCAUUACUACCUUCUGGAUUGAUCAAAAUGGUUAGACUCCACAAAACAACAAGAAUAACAACAACAACGACAACAACAACUAGUUUGUGUUUUGGAGGAUAUCAAGGGAUACCAAGUUCAUAAAAGCUACAUCUGUGCAUCAUUCUUGAGAAAUAUUUGCAGCGCAGGUGGUGGGCGGCUGGCAGGCAACAACAAGAAGUAUCACAUGUGUUUGCUUUGCUCAUUUGCUCUUCCCCUCUGGUCUUCUCACACUAUUAGAGGUAGUAUACUGGGCUGGACAGGGCCUUCAUUUCACCACUACAGCUGUUCUCAUGUUUGUAAGUUAUGGGACUUGAAGCAUUUAAAAAAUCCAGAAAGCAAUGGCUUGUUGCCCAAGUACCGUGUGCGGUUUGUUUUCAUCUUCGAAAAAAAAAUGGCAAAAUUCAAGAUGUUCGCAAGGAGUAGCAGAAAUUUUGCAAGAAAGCAGCUUCUAGAGUGCACCAGAUUCAAAGGGCUGGUGGCGGUUUGAUUGUUUUCAGUACCACUGUUUGAAGUGUUAUAUAUAACUAACUGUUUUAACACUUUCCAGGUUCCUUCAUCGUGAAAUUUAUGUUGCAGCAGAUUAGACAGAAGAUUGGACAUCCUCUGAGGUGUUAAUGGUAUGUAUGUUUACUAAAUCUCUCUCUCCUUUUUGAUCUUCCAUCAUAAUACGCAUACUGCAAUAAACACUGUAGGCUCCAUGGGAAUUGACUGGCAGCUGCUUGGGUGGCUUGGAAAGGGUUUGUCUUUCAGUCCUAAAAAAAAAGUAUAGUCAUCUACUGGAACUUUAGAAACAUUCUGUUCCAAGUUGGAAAUUUUCAAAUUCCUCACAGGUUUCAGGAAACUCCAGAACUGUCAAUAGAGACUUACAUGCAUUUAUAAUUAGAAAAGCAUAAGUGCUGUGUAUUGACAAAUAUCCUGACAGGAGAAAAAAUGCAAGUGGAAUAUUGCAACUACCCAAAACAAGGCAAAGAGCUGUAAAAAAUUUGGACUUUUUGUGAUGUUAUUGAAUGCAGAUGGUCCAUUUGGCUCAACAGCAUGACGGUUAUAACAUUCAACUCAUCUCCCUCUACACACUCAAAUCCCAGUGAUAGGAUACUAUGGUAGUCAAAACAAUGUCCAUCUCAAGGCUGAAAAACAAUCUCUGGUCACUCCACAACUUGUACGGGUGUACUUUCUCUAUAUAAUGGGCAUUCAAAGUGUUGGACUGGAGCAUAGUAUCAUACUGUACUGUACCCUAAACAAAGCUCAAGCUGCUACUCUAUCAUGCCAAGGGAGAAGUUUUCUUAGGGGUAUGAGAACAUAGGUGACAAAUACACAGCAAGGAGAAAGAGAGACCUAUAGAUCAUAGGCCGAUACUAAGGCAUGGUUGACUGUAACAAGUUUCCUUUGACAAAAUUUGAGCUAAUAACUCAGAAAAUGACUGUCUUAACCACUUUAACAGCACACGGGGAUUCUAUUUUUCUUCUACUAGUUAUAAGUUCUAGUGGAUAUAGCUGGUUUCAGUGAAUAAUGUAUUACAAGAGCAGGUCCUAAAGACCAGUAAACCCUCACGCUCUGGGAACAGGUCUGUGACAAGGCUGCCGGGUGACACAGAGUGUCAAGAGACAAAAUGACAAAAAGAAACAUUUAGCUAACUUUUAUAAAUAGGUAUAAAUAUUUUUAUGUACAUGGUGCAUUCUGGUAGCAUUGUAAAUUCUCUCUCAUCUAGGAAAAAUAUAAUUUUUUUAUAUUAAUUUGGGGUUUACACAGUUUAUAGAGAAUACAUUCAAGAAAAAAAAAUCUUGGAACAACAACACAAGACUGCAACAUGGAGACUAAAGAGGUUAACUCCAAGGAAAUAGAAAAAAAAUGCAAUAUCUGGCACUUUCUCUAUGAUGUAAAGUGCAUGUUAUUCUCAUUUAGCAGACGAGAGCUGACUUGAACAAUAGAAAUAUUUGUUAAUACAUUCUGUUCCACAGUGACUGUUAAAAAUAUUUGCUGCAUUUUCUUCUUAGAUGCUGAAGCUCUCUCAUUUCACACCUUUUCCCAGAUUUAAUCUCUGCAGCAUUAUUUAUGUGGCAAUAUUAUACUCAAUUUACAAAUUACAGACUGCUGCAAAAUGGAGCUGCUCUUUUCCCUAGAGGUAACAGCAACAGUUACAUUAAUCUUCUUUUAAAAAAUUAUUCAGGGGCUUUCAACAUGCUGCCAAGAACUCCCUCCCAGAUUCCUUUGUAGUCCUGUUUUUAAUUGUAAGAAUAUCUGCAGAAAAUAUAACAUGUAAGGCCUGGGUCCCAGUGGAGCUCCAUGCUGGCACAGGUCCUGCAGUGAGCACCAGAUGGGUGGAUUUCAGUUUAUUUUAUCUCUUCCAGAUCAAUCCUCUAUGUAGAUCCUGACCUGUGAACAUGGUUCUUCACUGGGUCAGAAUGUGUCCAGUGUUGCAGCACGUUUGGCUAGGAAAUCUCCAGUCUGGGGCAAAUGCUGUUAUGUACCCAGGCACUUUCCAUCACUGUGAGCCUCAGAGCCCUUUCCUGGUCCUUCUGCUUCUGCCCUAGCUGUGACUUGAGCACCACGGCCUAAUGAUGGCCAACAAAUCCCUGGGUGUCCUAAUUGUUCCUGAGGUGUUCAACACAGCCUGAUGAGAACCAAGAGCUCAGCAUGAGCUAGCAGCGAGAGGACUAUCUCUCCUGGCUGGAGAUGAGAUGGCUUGUUUGGGUGAGAACCUGUCUCAAGCACAAAAGAUCUGAUGAGAUGAAGUGAUGGUCUCUUCUGAUUUAAUUUCUAAGACAACGACAUUCUCAUGCAUUUCUCAACAGUCAACCACCAACAAUAGGCAUGUACACACUUGCCAGUUUGUACUGCUAAGAGAAAGUUCUGCCAGUGUUGGGCUUUCCCAGGGGAUCUCAUCCAAUAAUUCCUUAAACAGCCAGAAUUACACUCUCCUGAAUUUCAGGAUUCUGACUCUGCUCUUUGCCAGGCCCGUAUUCCUCAAAAUCACAAACUCAGCCAGGGCAUGGUCUCUACAGCCCAGGCUGCCUUCAGUCUUUACCUCCUUAAUGAGCGCUUCUACAUUAAUGAAUAAUGAGUCCAGUAAUGCUUUACCUCUGACUGGUCUGUCCAAUACCAGAUAGUGUGGUCAGGCAUGAAAAUGUUUGGUCAGCUUACGUGGAGAUAAAUUUUUUUCUUCUUUAAGGUUUGUUACAAGAGCAUUGCAGUUGACUUUGUCUCCUAACACUGAAAUAUGGUUCUUUUCCAGAUCUCCUCUAGCAGAUUUCCCAUGGAAGGAACUCCCAAGUGUUUGAGUGUUUUUGUCCAAAUGUGGUCCAUAUCAGUUCUGCCUCCUCAAAGUCCUCUUAGCCCAAACUGAGCUUGUAGUCAACUCAGACCAUACCAACCAGCUGCUUCCCUCCCCCCCUUCCCCUCCCCCCCGACCCCACCCCAGUUUUGCAUAGGUUUUGCAUAGGGAAAAACAGGAUGAAAUCCAUGUAAUAAGAGAAAUGUCUUCUACAAAUAUACAUGAGGAACAAAAGGAACUUCUGUAAGUCUAUUACUUGAUGUUGAUGGUUUAAAGUGCUAGUAAUGAGACGUUAUGAGACAGAUGCAUUCAAUAAGUAUUUCUGUUCUGGUGGAUCAAAGCUGGAAGGAAGUAUGAAUACAUUAUGAAGCUGAUGAAAUGUUUUCUGGUCUUACAGUAAAAUGGGUGAAUGCAAGUCAACUCAGAUCUGUGUCAGCAAGGCUCUAUAAAAUGGCACCGAGUCUUCUUAAGGCAGCAACUCAGGAAGUUGUACUUUCUCUAGGCAGGUAAUGAAUGCUGAGCUUGUACCCAGAGGUCAGAGGUAUGACCCAAUUAAUAGUAAGCUGGUUGGCCUAGCUUACUACUGGUCUUGGGAUCAGCAUGUAGGAAAUGGCUGAUACUGAAGACAAAAGUAAAAUCUGUUCCAAUUAAUUUAACCUUAGUGGAAUUUGAGCUUGUCAAGUCAUCCUAGUACCUCUAGUUGAAAAAACACUUCAAGAUCAGAACUGUGAUGAGUUAGUCACCUGACUGUAAAUUUUUUUAAUAUACCAUUUUUAGAAGACGCUACUUGAUUUCAACAAAGAUAUCUUAUGGGCAAUUAUCAGUGGGGAAGUCUUUCCAGAAGGGAAUCACUCAUUUCUCCUUUCCACCCAAUACAAUCUGUUUUUAAAUCACAAAUAACACAUGAACAACUGCAAAUGCACUUUUAAGAUAGUACGAAAUGUGAAAAAAUAAAGAUGACAGUGCUUUUGUUUGAAAGUGAUCAGACUCACUUCAUAACCUCGGUUCAACCAAAUGCAACCAAAACAGUUCGUCCUUAGAAACAAGAGAGCAUGAACUGUUUUUACAGGAUUGGGUACUGUAUCACAGAAAGCUUGAAAAGGUCUAUGGGGAUUGUCACAUGUAAUCAACUGUGCAUGAACUCCUACUAUAAUCUCAUUAUUAAAACAGUUACAGUGGUCACUGGAAGUACAGAGAUGGGGGCUGGGAUUGGGGAUGCAGUAUUCUGUCUGUGUAAGGAAGAAAUAGGGCCACUUUUGCAGUGGCUGUUGAAGUGGAUAGAGGAGCCAAGGGAGAAAUAGUUAAAGGAUCAGGACCUUCACAUAGGACACAUUUAUUCCAUGAUUAUUUCAUGAUGGAUUACCCCAGAAAAUAGCUUCCAAAAGUUUUUCCAUGAAACAGCAGAUCAUGCAGCUCCUCUGCUGGACCCUCCCUUAAGUCAUGUUUUCUGGAUUAUGUUCCAGAGGAAAUCAGUAGGGGUUGCAGCUUUCUGAGGUGAGUUUAGUGUUGGAUACCUGCCUAUGUGCUGUGACACGCUGCCUUGGCUAAUAAAUCGUGACCUCUGUGGUUAUAUCGGUCAAAUGCUUUCUCAGCCAGAGCAAUUUCCAGCAAAUCAGUGGGCUCCUUUCACAGUGCCCAUCUGACAAGCACGGGGUAGCGCACAGAUGGUUUAGAUAUAAAAAAGAAUGUUGCAUCAGUACUGUAUGUGUGAAAUGUUUCAAUUAUUCCUAAAAUAUUUUUAACGUGUUCCAGAUUUAUCAGGCAAAAUGUUUAGGAAGUAAUUGGAGUUUAUUCUGUUUUUAAUUUUGGUAUAGUAUAUUAUAAUAAACACAUGUUCAAAAUACAUUUUAGGUAUCACCAAAUAUUUAUAAAAUGUGUAUAGGUGGAAAUCCCAAGGUCACUACAGUAGCUUUAUUUUGCCAGUCUGUUUACAAGGAGAUGAGUCAUUAAAACCUAUGGCUGUUUCUAUCUGUACCGAGAAUCCUUCUCCUGCAGGCAGUGGAUAACCUAUUGGUUUUACAUAUUCAUGUAAGAUUAAGCUUUCUCUGAUUGCAGAGGUUGAAUUUAACCCUCCCUCAUAUUAUUUGUAAUAAUAAAAACUUCUAGUGGUAUUUCCAAGUGGACAUAUAUGUCUCAUAUUUAACAUCUGAUCAUAUUACCGUCAUUUUCCACUAUAACUAAAAGAUGAAUUAAAUAAAUGAGUAUCCCAAGCAAUUCUGUUUAGGAAAUCAGAUGAAAGAUGGUGUCAUACUUCUUGAAACACACAGUGGGCUUUUGCAAUUAGAACUAAUUGGUAUGUUGUGUGCAUCACUACCUGCCUUAAGAAAUACUGACGAAGCUUCGGGGUGGGAUGGGUGUUCUAUGGGGCUGGGGGUGAGACUGGGGGCGGGGGGGAUCUGUGGGACUGGGAGGUGGAAUUGUUCUACUAGGGAACACUGUUCCAUUUGUUUUAAAACAAAGAUUGACUGUUUGCUUUUGAUCUCCUUCUUGUCCUUGGAGAUUUCAGGUGUGGAAAAAGGCACACAUUUUCCUAGCCUGAAGAGUAAAAUAUUGCCCUCCACAAUUCUCAUUACCUUAAGUGAACUCAGUUUAUAUUUUUUGUUGUUGUUUUAUUUUUCUUUAUCCAAAGUUUAUUCAAAGUAUUCAUUAAGAAAAUCUCGAUGUAGAAACACCUUGCAUUAACCAAAGCAAAGUUGGUUUCAGUGCCCAAGACCAAGAUGCCUAAUCUCCUCCUUGCCCCAGCUGUUAGGGACAAGCAUGUUUUCCGUUUCAGCUCACAGAACAGUUGCAGUGUUGGGGGGAUGAGAAAACAGACAUGGGUUGAUCUGAGAGCAAAGAUUUGUGGUGGUAGAGCAAGACUGGCAAAGGAGGAGCCAGUGCCAUAUACAGAAGUAGCUGCAAACCCAAGAUUCCCUCAAAACGUGAUGACAUACAUGUGUAGACAUGUACUGUUUCAGCAGGUAUUGUGGUGCCCCAAAGAAACAUUUUGAAAGAUGAAAGCAUUGGGGAUUUUUGUUUUCACUGUUUUUCCUCACUUUUUUUAAGUAAAAAUGUUAAAUUCAGCUCUGUUAGAAGAUUAAGCUCAAUCCCAAACAAAAUCUAGACAUCUAGGCUGUACUGACUCCUGCUGCUGUCUUAGGAAAUAUUGACUUUUCUGAAAGAAAAACUAUUUCCUCAAUUCUAAUUUUCAUUAAAAACAUACUGUAGUACAGAUGCUGUUUUGCAAUAUUCUUUUAAUCUCUGUGGAUUUAUUUUAUGUGUUUACUCCAACAGAAAAUUCUUAUUAGCAACGAUUCUUCAACUCUUUCUCUUACCUCAGUGGUGUGGCUGACCCCUCUGUAUGCCUCAUCUGAAGGCUCACCAUCCACUGACAGUAAUCUGAGGAGGUCCAGGGACAGCAAAUGAUGGCUGAACUUGAUGAUCACAGGGGUCUUUUCCAACACCAAUGAUUCUAUAAUUUGAAUGACUUUUGACAUUGUAAGGCUGUUACACUUGUGAUCACAAAUACCUUAUGUCCACGAUAACAUUGGAAAUCUUGUUCAUUUUGCACCACUUCCAGAAAACAGCAAGAAGCUGUAUAAAAGUAUUUCAAAAGGAAGGAGCUGGUGAAGCAAGACAGCAAUUUGGUUUAUUUAUCAGUGUUAGUAAUUCCAUUCCAGCCCAUGAAGCCAGCAAGUAUGGUUCAUAUUGAGAAUAUCUAUGUGAAAAGUAAUGGCAAAUUAUGCAAAUAAAUUGGCUACAAUAAGACUUUUUCACUCUUUUUUUUUUUCAGUAGUUUAUCAUGCUGCAGUCUAAUCAAGAUAUGGUAAAGGGUGGUACAGACAUUAUUCAGGAACUUAAUGCCACAUAAACCUAAGCAAUUCAUUUUUCUAACAUUUUUAAUUGUCUGCAGAUAUACAGAUAGAGACUAACUGUAGUAAGUCCACAUUAAAUUCAUUUUAAACAAAUUUCAAGCCUAAUUUAAGAAAAUCAUGAUCUCCACUCACACUGAAGUGUGGUUUCACUUUGACAUCAGCAAAUCUAUACUGCUUGGAAAGAAAAGCUGUUUCAAGGGCUGAGCUGCUAGUUGGAACUCAGGAAUCCUGACACCACUCCAAGCCUCACAAACACGGGACCUUGGAGAUGUCAUUGGGAAUGGAACUCACCCAAAUGCACAAACCAAAAACCCAGGUAGCUGAGUUGGGUCUGGGUAUCCUCAGCAGUUAAAUGGAAAGAGAGUGACUCCUCUCAGGUUGAGAUUGGAUUCCUCGUUUUCAGAGGGUGUAAAUUAGUGUUGUGUACCUUGACUUCAGCAAGGCUUUUGUUGUUUCUCCCACAAUAUCCUUGUAAUGAAGCUUAGUAAGUGUCAGAUAGUUAAGUGGACAGUGAGGUGGAUUGAGACCUGCCUGACUGGCAGAGCUCAGGUUGUUACAAUCAACAGUGCAGAAUCUAGUUGGAGGUCUGUAACUAGCAGUGUUUCCCAGGGGUUGGUGCUGGGUCAGGUCUUGUUCAACAUCUUCAUCAAUGACCUGAAUAAACACUCAGCAAGUUUGCUGAUAAUACUAAACUGGGAGGAGUGGCUGACACACCAGAAGGCUGUGCUGCCAUUCAGAGUCCUGGACAGGUUGGAGAGUUGGGUGGAGAGGAACCUGAUGAGGUUCAUCAAGGGAAAGUGCAGAGUACUACAGAGGGGGACAAAUAACUGUGUGCAUCUGUACAGGUUAGGGUCUGACCUACUGGAAGGGAUCUCUGCAGAGAAGGACCUGGGUGUUCUGGUGGACAACAGGUUGGCCAUGAACCAGCAGUGUGCCCUCGUGGCCCUGUUGAGGCCACACAUGGAGUGCUGGAUCCAGUUCUGGGCUCCACAGUUCAAGAAAGAUGGAACUUCUAGACAGAGUCCAGCAAAGGGUCACAAAGAUGACAGGGAGCCUGGAGCAUCUUCCAUAUGAGGAAAGGCUGAGAGAUCUGUAGAAGAGAAGACUGAGAGAGGAUCACCUAACUUCAUAAAUAUCUGAAGUGUGGGAGUCAAAUGGAUGAGGCUAGGCUCUUUUCAGGACAGACAGAACAAGGGGUAAUGAGCAAAAACUGCAACAUGGGAGGUUCCAUAUAAACAUGAAGAAGAACUUAAUUGCUAUGAGGACGACAGAGCACUGGAAUAGGCUGCCCAGAGAAGAUGUGGAAUUUCCUUCUCUGGAGAUCUUCAAAACCUGCCU
rnacentral:lncRNA from 1 species